UUCCCUCAUUGAGCACUGCGCUCAAUGCAUGGGCGCCUCGCUCUCUCUACUAACUCAUGUGUAACGGCAUCGCCGCAAAGGCGAAGUGUACGACGAAGGAGAGCGAGCAUCCCUUCGCAGCAGCACGCGUAGCCCUCCUUUCCAGGUUUAAGUCUGUGGUGUGCCGCUCCUCGGUGAUGCGGGUGUGGUCAGUCUCGCAGGCUCCGCCGCAUCUCCGGGUCUUUUCUUUCCCCGUCUCCACGUCGUAUCGUUUCCUUUCGAGCAUUUCUGUGGCACCUGUGCGCCCAUGUACGCGUCCCCCUCAGGCGUUGGGUUUGUGGCGAAAACGAAGCUGCGUGCGCGUGCACACACGUCAGGGCACCACACAGCAAAAAAAGAGUAGAGAACGACAGAGCGCGCCUCAACCUCUGGUGAGGGCUACCGUAUCUCCAUCAAUCUCUGUGGUGAGGACUAGACCGACUGCGGUGCCGUUGGCGAUGCCACUUUCAUCAGCAGCAAGACCAUCCUAUCGUGCGAGCUUAUCUUCGCAGCGGCUCUUUCGUCUUCCGGGUAUUUGUUCAACCUCCACUAGCGGUCUCACGUGCUGCCGCCAGGUUCACAUCGGGCACUCCACCGACGUGCACCGGUGGCGCAACCCAGAGAAGGAGGAGGUGCAGCGGCAGUUCCGCGGUGGGGUGAAACUGGGAAGUCACAUAGCCAAGGUUCGCGAGCAGCAGGCAAAGGAGAGGGAGCUCAUUGAGCAGGACAAGUUCACGGACUGGCGUCUGGUCUACAACUAUUCCAUCGGCGCGGCUCUGCUGCUUAUUGGACUGAACGUGAUUCUUGCCUUUGUGGAGCCGAAUCCAUCACCCGAGUACGUCCCCUACACUGAAUCAGUGGUGCCGGCGUCCAACGUCAGCGAUACGAUGGCGGAGUCGGGUCAGGCGCCGUUGAGUGAUGCGGGGCCCGCGAGACGUACUUGAGGAGAUACCUGCUAGGCAGAAAGCACAGAUGGAAGCCCGCUGUGUGGCGCUUGCCCUGGGCGAAGAAGUGAUGUAAGAGGCAGAACGAGAACUCGCGGAGGGGGAGGGGGUGGACAGGCUUUUCUACGAGGCGUCGAAUGGUCCGGGCGUCUCCCCCCCCCCCACUUACGUUGCCUGUCACCUCUCAUCCUUUGAGCCGUGACGUGUUUCCCUCGCUCACGCUCUCUUCUUUGUGGUUUCGCCUGUGUCGAGCGUAGACGAAUGCACACCCACACACAUACGCGUAUAGUUACCCGCAGAGCGCAGGUCGGCACAUGCGACCGAAAAG
rnacentral:misc_RNA from 1 species